AGUGGCGGACGGGUGAGUAACGCGUAGGAAUCUGCCUUAUAGUGGGGGACAACGUGGGGAAACCCACGCUAAUACCGCAUACGCCCUACGGGGGAAAGGAGGGGAUCUUCGGACCUUUCGCUAUGAGAUGAGCCUGCGUUAGAUUAGCUAGUUGGUAGGGUAAAGGCCUACCAAGGCGACGAUCUAUAGCUGGUCUGAGAGGACGAUCAGCCACGCUGGGACUGAGACACGGCCCAGACUCCUACGGGAGGCAGCAGUGGGGAAUAUUGGACAAUGGGCGAAAGCCUGAUCCAGCAAUACCGCGUGUGUGAAGAAGGCCUUAGGGUUGUAAAGCACUUUCAAUUGGGAGGAAAACCUACCGGUCAAUACCCGGUAGCUUGACAUUACCUUUAGAAGAAGCACCGGCUAA
rnacentral:rRNA from 1 species